AAGAUGAGUUCAUUUUAUUCUCUCAGGGAACUGUGCUGUCCUCAAGCCCUCAGAAGUCAGUCAAGCCACCGAGAAAAUUCUGGCUGAUCUCAUCCCUAAAUAUCUGGAUCAGGACUGCUAUGCCGUGGUGUGUGGAGGAGCAGAGGAAACUAAGACCUUGCUGGAGAACAGAUUCAACCACAUCUUCUAUACAGGGUCCCAGGCGGUAGCCAGGCUGAUCCUGCAGGCGGCCUCAGUGCACCUCACCCCCGUCACGCUGGAGCUGGGCGGGAAGAGCCCCUGUCUGAUC